UACGUAGGUGGCAAGCGUUGUCCGGAAUUAUUGGGCGUAAAGCGCGCGCAGGCGGUCCUUUAAGUCUGAUGUGAAAGCCCACGGCUCAACCGUGGAGGGUCAUUGGAAACUGGGGGACUUGAGUGCAGGAGAGAAGAGUGGAAUUCCACGUGUAGCGGUGAAAUGCGUAGAGAUGUGGAGGAACACCAGUGGCGAAGGCGGGUCUCUGGGCAGUAACUGACGCUGAGGAGCGAAAGCGUGGGGAGCGAACAGG
rnacentral:rRNA from 1 species